UUGCUUUUGCUGGGCGACGACCGGCGCACGGGUGAGUAACGCGUAUCCAACCUGCCCAUAACUAAGGGAUAAUCCGUAGAAAUGCGGUCUAAUACCUUAUGUGUUCCGACGAGGACAUCUGAAUUGGAAUAAAGAUUUAUCGGUUAUGGAUGGGGAUGCGUCUGAUUAGAUUGUUGGCGGGGCAACGGCCACCAAGUCUACGAUCAGUAGGGGUUCUGAGAGGAAGGUCCCCCACAUUGGAACUGAGACACGGUCCAAACUCCUACGGGAGGCAGCAGUGAGGAAUAUUGGUCAAUGGGCGGGAGCCUGAACCAGCCAAGUAGCGUGCAGGAUGACGGCCCUAUGGGUUGUAAACUGCUUUUGUAUGGGGAUAAAGUGCUCCACGUGUGGAGUUUUGCAGGUACCAUACGAAUAAGGACCGGCUAAUUCCGUGCCAGCAGCCGCGGUAAUACGGAAGGUCCGGGCGUUAUCCGGAUUUAUUGGGUUUAAAGGGAGCGUAGGCCGCGGGUCAAGCGUGUUGUGAAAUGCAGGUGCUCAACAUCUGGAUUGCAGCGCGAACUGGCCCGCUUGAGUGCGCGCAACGCAGGCGGAAUUCGUCGUGUAGCGGUGAAAUGCUUAGAUAUGACGAAGAACCCCGAUUGCGAAGGCAGCUCGCGGGAGCGCAACUGACGCUGAAGCUCGAAAGUGCGGGUAUCGAACAGGAUUAGAUACCCUGGUAGUCCGCACGGUAAACGAUGGAUGCCCGCUUUUCGGUCAUUAGACCGUGAGGCCAAGUGAAAACAUUAAGCAUCCCACCUGGG
rnacentral:rRNA from 1 species